GGAAUCUUGCGCAAUGGGCGAAAGCCUGACGCAGCGACGCCGUGUGGGUGAUGAAGGCCUUCGGGUCGUAAAGCCCUGUCCGGGGGGACGAAAUCUUGGCGACCUAAUACGUCGUCGACUUGACGGUACCUCCAAAGGCAGCACCGGCUAACUCCGUGCCAGCAGCCGCGGUAAUACGGAGGGUGCUAGCGUUGUUCGGAAUUACUGGGCGUAAAGCGCGUGUAGGCGGCCUUUUAAGUUUGAUGUGAAAGCCCGGGGCUCACCCCCGGAAGUGCAUUGGAUACUGGAAGGCUGGAGUACCGGAGAGGAGGGUGGAAUUCCUGGUGUAGCGGUGAAAUGCGUAGAUAUCAGGAGGAACACCUGUGGCGAAGGCGGCCCUCUGGACGGAUACUGACGCUGAGGCGCGAAAGCAUGGGUAGCGAAC
rnacentral:rRNA from 1 species